rnacentral:rRNA from 1 species
UACGUAGGCAGCAAGCGUUGUUCGGAAUUACUGGGCGUAAAGAGUGUGUAGGCGGUUUUCUAAGUUCGGUGUGAAAUCUCCCGGCUUAACUGGGAGGGUGCGCCGGAAACUGGAGGACUGGAGUGCCGGAGAGGAUAGCGGAAUUCCUGGUGUAGCGGUGAAAUGCGUAGAUAUCAGGAGGAACACCUGCGGUGUAGACGGCACUCUGGGACGGUACUGACGCUGAGACGCGAAAGCGUGGGGAGCGAACAGG